rnacentral:lncRNA from 1 species
UUCACCCAUUUUCUUGUGAAGUCCUCGUGUUGCACCCAUUUUUUUGCAGAUGAUUCUUUCGACGUUACGCGCGACUUGAAUUAUGGUCCUCAGGUUUAUUCGCAAAUGUGAGUCACGGCGCUGUAGCAUUUUACUUGAUAUUAGAAUGAAAACGGGAGGUGCAGUGCACACGCACAAGGAAACAAAUGACGGGAGGGGGAAGAAAGGGGAAUGAGUUUAUGUCUUUGUAGCGCAAAAUUAAACAGGUGCAAUCAUACCAGCACUAAUGCACCGGAUCCCAUCAGAACUCCGCAGUGAAGUGUGCUUGGGCGAGAUUAGUAUUCGGAUGGGUUGUUCGACGUUACACGCGAAUGAAAUUAUAAACCACUGGUUUAUUUGCAAAUGUGAGUCACAGUGCCGGGGCAUAUUACUUGAUAUUAGAAUGAGAAAGAGAGAUGCAGAGUGCACGCACAAGGAAACAAAUGACGGGAGGGGGAUGGGAGGAGAAAGAGUGUAUGUAUUUGCAGUGCAGAAUGAAACAGGUGCGAUCAUACCAGCACUAAUGCAACGGAUUCUAUCAGAACUCCGCAGGUAAGGGUGCUUGGGCGAGAGUAGUACUAGCAUGGGUUACCUCCGGCGAAGUCCUUAUAUUUCACCCAUUUUCUUGUGAAGUCCUCGUGUUACACCCAUUUUUUUGCAGAUGAUUAUUUCGACGUUACGCGCGACUUGAAUUAUGGUCCUCAGGUCUAUUCGCAAAUGUGAGUCACGGCACCGUAGUAUUUUACUUGAUAUUAGAACGAGCACGGGAGGUGCAGUAUGCACGCACAAGGAAACAAAUGACGGGAAAGGGAAGAGAGGAGAAGGAGUUUAUGUAUUU